UGACCUCCUUUCGUUCCGACUCAUAUAUCGGUUCCGACUCGAGCUCUUUCUUCCUCGACCCGGCCUCCUUCUUCCUCACCCCGCAAGGGCGACGGAGGUCUCUCGAUCGAUUCGCCUUCGUUCUCGCGGAGGAGGGAUCGCCGUACCGAUUCUCCUUCAUUCUCGCCUUUGAUCUGUUCCCGCGGGAUGGCUUCUGUUUCAGAAGAAGGCAUUGGAGUUGGCCAACCUGAAGAAUCAGAAGGAGAUGAAGUAAUUGAAUAUCCACCCAUGGUCUUCGAAAUGCUCAAGGAGCAAUAGUUUUCCCCAGGAAGUUAUGCAAUCCCACAUAUAUUACCAGAUUGUCAACAUUGCGUUUUAACAAGGCUGUCAAGAAAUUUAGUAGCAUACAACUUGGUCAUAUCAGGAAGUAUAAUAUGGAAGCGCUGCUUCAUAUGCCGUAUCAUC